rnacentral:lncRNA from 1 species
AGGGAGGAAGCCAGGCUGCGGCGGACCCAGCUGACCAAAGGAACUACAGAAGAGGACGAAGAAAGCGAGGGGGAAAGGGCGAGGGUUAUUAACUGAGUUGAUGGAAUAAGGUAGUGGCUCCAAACUUCACGGCUCAUUAGAGCUUGAAAAAAAAAAAUCAGACGCCGGGUCGCACAGAAGUAAUUAAACCAAUCCCUCUGGCGGUGGGGCCCAGGCGUCGGUACUUUUUUUAAUUUCCCACUUGAAUCCAAUGGGAAUCCAAGUUUAAGGGCUAGAAGACCAGAGAGCGACAGACAGGGAGGAGGCGCGCCAGCCAGGGGCCGAGGCACAUGCGGGCCGGCAACAGCGAAGGCUCCGCCUCUUCCUGUGGCUCGGAGGAGCCGCGGAACCCCCAACGCGCGACUCAGACGGAGACACCCACUCUUUCGGCGCUAGCGGCGGCUGGAAGGGACGAGAGCCUGGCCUAGGAGGAAGGAGGCGGCUCCAGGACCGCAUUACCUGAUCAGAGCCGCGACCCUCAUGCUGGGCGCAGUGCGCGUGCGUGCGGCGAGCGCGGGCGGGAGCCAGGAGGUCGCGCCGCAGCUCGCGUGACGCACCGCGGGGCCUCGCCCGGGUGUUCGCUCCGCCGCCUGUCCGCGGAUCGGCGCUGCGAGCCCCGCGGCUGCCUGCGGGACACCUGAGCGCGGAGGGUGCGGCACCUUGGCACCUUGACCCUGUGGCAGGGACAUCUCGGCCCAGGAAAGAAUGAGGUUUAGGCACGGCCUAACCACCUAAGUGAGGGCACUGAAGCUGCCGGGGGAAGGGCAAGGUCCGCGUUGCAGAGCCCAAGCCCAGUGGCGCAGGAUUUGUUUUGGUCUCAGUUUGCUUCAUCUCUGGAAUGGAGAUGGUUUCCUAUGUGAUCAUGAAAAUUUCUCCCAGCUCUGAAGACCUUUUAUUUUGUAAGAAUCAUUGUGAAGGUAUGGGCUUGGCAAAUGAAUGGAAAGAUGAGCAAUGGGAGAGGAAAGAAUUGAAGAGGGCUGUGAGGUUUGAAGAAUGGCAUCCCCCAUGAAGUGGCGCUGAAAGAUCACGAUAGCACAGUUCCAUGAUGUGAAAUACCACAAGUCUGCAAUUUUUCGGUCUUGAGAGUGUCGCUGGGCUGAGAGGAUGGAAAUCUUUCAGUAAUUAUACCAGUUUGUAUUCGUCUCACAUUUGGGACCAAAUACAAAUCCGAUCCACUCUUUCUCCCUGUGAAUAUUCAUAAAAAACAAAGUGCCAAUUCUGGUCUAAUCAUGUAUGGAACCAAAUAUGUUGAUGAGUCCUAAGUAUAUACUGUAUGUAUGUAUACAUAUGAAUAUAUAUAUUUGUACACACUAAUUUUGCUUGUGUCCUCCUCUGUGCAAUUUGUUUGUUUAGUAUAGGGGUUGCUGUUAUAAUGUGUUAAUAAGCUGCUGAAAGCUUGGCACCUAUUACUUGAAAUGACAGCUAUGUUAGAAGCCUAUUAACACUCCAUAGCAGCAGCUCUGCAGCUACUAGAAAUGAAUUUCAAAGAAGGUAAAUGAACAAAAGCGAUUCAUAUCUCUAAGGAAAGCAAAUACCAUGCCUAGAACCAUAUAUACUUUGGAAAUGUACAGUGUAUAAAAUGAAAAACCUCUUCCAGUUAAAGAAACAGCGGAAGGGAAUAUUUGGGGAAAGGAAGACUGCCUAAAAGAUUUCCAAACAACCUUGAAGAUGUAAAUGUAAAGGAUACCAAACAUAACUUCCUCUCUUUGUUUCUAUUGUAUUUAAACCAGAUCCAUGUCAAACUUAUAAGAACAGAAUAUAGUACAGGUAGAGGAAAUUCACUUUUCAUGAGCAAAAGUUAAAUCAUCUGGAUUUAGCUCAAACUUCUUUUUCUUCAUUUCUGAGCUUAGAAGGACACCCUUUGCUAUUGUUCUCGGAAGCAGGGCUCUUUAUGAGUCAGCUUGCUCUGCUUUUGAACUACUUUACUUACUUUUGACUGUCAUUGGAAUUUGCAAGAUGGUUGAAAGUCCUGGGUAAACCUUAACCAUGAUAAUAAAAAUGUGGUAAGUUAAGUUCAGCGUAGGUGUUUUUCUUUCUCUCUUUUGUGAUACAGUAUGUGUGGGGGCGUGUAUAUGGCAAGGUGGGGGGUGGGUUAUAUGCUGAGAGUACAGUUCCAUAAUUCUAGGUUAAAUUAAAAUUUAACUGUAUUAACUUUUUAAGGCCCUUACUUUUGAAAUCAGCUGUAAUGAAAAACAAACACUUUUGCAUUUCAACUUAUGCACAGAAAUUAAAAAUUGCUUUCAGAGUUUGUGUAAAACUAGCAGUGAAAAGUUAUAAUAGGCAGUUUCAUCUGUAGAAUAAUUUAUAUUACCGCUUUAAUAUCAGGACAGUAACACGUAGUAGCAUUAUCUUUGCAUUCACAGUACCAUAAUAUCUAUUAUAUAGAAUGUGUUUUAUAUACCAUGCUAGUCAUGAUAUUUCUGUGAAUGGCUACUAUGACUUCUAAAAAGAAAAGCUUGAAAGGUCUUGGAAGAGAAAGAAAACAGGUGUAGACUCUAAAAAUCUGUAUAAAUAUAAGCCAAACACUCUUUGUGUACAUGCAUGUGUGCAUACACUAAUAAGGCUUUACAAAUUAGAUUGGGAUAGGUUGUCGUGGAGGAGGAAAGAGGUGAAAAUAAAGGCAAUCCUCUUAUCACUGAGACUCAAUACAAAAUGUGUUUUGAACAUUGUUUAAAUGAAACUCCAAUUUCCCAGGUAAGCUGACACUACCCUUGCCCUUUGGGACACUAACUAGAAAUGCUCUUAGGUGAAAUCCUGUCCACCAAAACUUAGCUUCCCCAGCCCUUCUGUACACUAAUAGUACAUUGACAAUUGAUGCUCAUUAUGAAUUUAAAGGUACUCAAAUGAGGUAAUUUUGUGUUUGUUGAAUCACUAACAGUUUAAUUAUGCUCAGUAUUGUUUGUACAAAAUGAUUUUUAAAAAUGGAUUCUAACAUUUUAAAAAUGGAUUCUAACAUCUUAAAAAUGUGUAACCCAUUGUAUGUAUGAUAUAGAUAGUAACUCUAUUAUUCAGAGUAGUUGAUUAACUCAAAUGCCCUACUUCAUAUCUAGCAGAGAACAGGCUAAAUUUAAAUUAAGCAGCAUUUUAUUAGAAUUUUUGAAGACUUGUAUUGAGAAAUGCCAAUUACCAGUUGUUUGUGAGUUGCCAAAAUAUUAUAAUGUUCUGAAU